GGCGACCUGGAUACCAUCUUCGACACGGGGACAAAUCCCGGGAUGGAGUCCAGGGUUUCCCGCGGCUUCGGCGCUUCCUGACCUGGCGUGACUGCCGACUUGUCGGCACCACCCAGGCCUCAGGCUCCCUGUCUGUAGUGGUGAAUCGACCUUCCUCAUGGCAGUCCAGGCUUCCCAAGCCCCAUGUCCUGUUGAUCCGGGACAAACUCUUCCUUGAACGUUCUUCACUACGAGCCGCUGCUGAUCUGUACUGCCUGGAGGAGCAUUUCCAUAGCGCCCGCAAAAAUACAAUAAAGCUCACCCAAGGAAAUAACCAUGGAUUCUCACGCCUGGGUGCCAGUGUUUGGAAUCGACUGGGCUUUUUUAUGUUAGUAGGCAAUUUAAAACAAUUACUUAUUUGAAAUCAGAAGCGCAAUAGGCAUAACUUCAGGUACGUGCUCCACCACCACGUUUUGUGGAUUUUUCUUUUUAAACAUCAGUUCUGUUCUCUACAACUCUCCGCCUUCAGGGUUAUACUUUCCAGGAACAAUAGCUUCCCAAUUCGGCUUUGUGCAUCCAUUUUUCAUACAGCAUCGUUGUAGUCUUCAAAUACAAAUAUGAUCACGGCAAUCUGCUGAAAAAUCUUUGGUGGCUUUCCCUUGCUCUUGGACAAUCCCUGAUUGUCCAAGUUUUCGGCUUCAUCUCGUUCGCCCACCAUACACUGAACUAUAAACUGUAGUGGCUUUUUUUCCUCAGGUCUUCCCACAGACUAAGUACCAAGAUUUUUCCACCCUACCCUCAUCCGUGCUCAUUCCGACACACUUUUUGCCUGUUUGACACCUCAUUUAUUGUCAGAUUUCAAGAAUCGUUUUCUUCGGGGAACCAUUUCUUGACUCCCUUACUGGAUGAAACAAGCCUCCCUGUUAAACAGUGUUGGAGGCGCAGAAACAUACCCCCAAAUAAUGGCGUUUUGACAUCUGAACUGAAGAAGCCUCAAGGUCCCACUCCCCUAAAUCCCCACGCCAUCUCUGCCAAAGCAAAGGAUAAAGUUUAGACACAUCACAAGGAACAUAAUUGUUUUUGUUGCCUCCCUGUAAGACCAAGAAUGUAGUAAUCACACCUGAGCAGACCCUUUCACAAGAUGUUGUACAAAUUAAUGUGUUCCUGAUACAUUCAUUCUCCUUUGUAAUCCCUCAACAGAAUUCCUCUUCUCCCUAUCAUAACCUGUGUCGCUGGGAUUGUAUCCACAAGCUUCUGAAGCCCUCUGAGGGGUGGGUAAUCACGCUGUGAUUCUUCCUGUGUAUACACGUUAAGUAAAUUUGUAUGUUUUUUCUAUUAAUGUUCCUCAUGUUAGUGAUUUUCAGCCAAACCUCAGAGGGCCAAGGAGAAAGGUCCCCUUGGCGCUUACAAUAGUGUCUGCUGGUAGUUUCAUGUGGUUCUUGGUAGAACUUACCGGUUCAACUUGUUCUUUCACUAUGUGUGUAUUUAGAGCUAAGCAAGUUUACUAUAUAUGUGUAUAUAUAUAUAUAUAUACACACACACACACAUAUACACAUACGUAUAUGUAUAUACAUAUAUUAUAUAUAUAUAUAUGCACAGUAAUGGUUCUGAUCAGUUGGCCUAAGAGUACACCCUAUGUGGGGCUUCACGUACUGCUACACUCACAGGCAGAAUUGGGGGUUGUUUUUCUGUCCAGAGUGAUUGAUCCUGAUUACAAGGGGACAAGCGGGUUUCUUCUACAUAAAGGAGAAUUUUGUCAAGAACCCAGGAGAUUCACUGAGACCUUUUUUAGUACUUCCUUGUCUAAUGUUUCGCUGUUGGAAAACUCUGGGAACCCAACAAAGACAAGGAAGGAAGGAAGGUUUGGGCUAUCCUUCUAGGUAAAGAAUCUAGUCUAGCGAGGUCCUGACAAAGGCUAAGGGUAACUUGAAAAGGUGCUAGGAGAACAGAGUUAUGCAAUAUUAGCUACCUAAUUUGCAGAUUACAUAUAUAUGUAUACACAUAUACAUAUGUGUGUGUGUGUGUGUGUGUGUGUAUAUAUAUAUAACUGCUCUUUAGCUGACACCUUGAUUUUAAUAAUAGUCCUUUUCUUUUCUUUUUUCUUUGAGAUGAGGUCUUGCUCCAUUACCCAGGCUGGAGUGCAGUGGCACAAUCAUAGCUCACUACAGACUCAAACUGCUGUACUCAAGCAGUCCUUCUGCCUCAGCUUCCCAAGUAGGUAGGACUGCAGGCACACACCACCACACCCAGUUAAUUUUUUCUUAUUUUUUAUUCUAUCUAUCUAUCCAUUUAUUUAUUUUUGAGACAGAGUCUUGCUCUGUUGCCCAGGCUGGAGUGCAGUGGUGUGAUCACAGCUCACUGCAGCCUUGAUCUCCCAGGCUCAAUUGAUCCCCUCGCCACAGUCUCCUGAACAGCUGGGACUACAGGUGCACACCACCACGCUCGGCUAAUAUAUAUAUUUUUUAAUUUUUAGUAGACAUGAGGUCUCACUAUGUUACCCAGACUUGUCUCAAACUCCUGAGCUUAAGCUCUUCUCCUACCUUGCAAGUUUAUAGUUUUUUUAAAAUAUAUUUUAUCUCCUUGAUUGAAAACUUCACGAAAGCACACUUUGUGUAUUUUUGCCAGCAUCUGGAAGAUGUAAACCUAUCGCACAGCAGAUGUUCAAUAAAUGUUGAGUGUUGAGACAAAACUUGCUUAAUUUUUCAAGCAAGGUUUGGAAAAUUACCUCUUUAUUUGUAUUAUAAAAGAAGUCAAAACCCCUUUACUAACUAGAUCUAGAAGAAAGUUUAUGAUGAGAGUAGAUUAUUAGUAGUGCUUGAUAUUCCAGGAGUUAUGUACAAUUUUAAUAGGCUUAAAUAGACCAAACUAACUCCCCACAUUUAAAUUAGAAUGAGAAUCAAUAGGAUCUAAUCUUACCUUUUAAUGUAAAACAAUUUAAUUAUGCUCAUUAGACACAUUUGCCUGAAUUGUAUCUUAAUUUUAACUAAGUAUAAUGAAAACCAGAGAGAUCAAGAUUCCUGAAUUUGCUGGAUGCAGAAAAUGAUAGGCUAACAAUUAUAUUUAACUGCUAUAUAACAUUGUUUCUAGCAGCUUCUCUUAACUCUUUGUUCUCUUUCAACUUUAAAAACAGUCCUCAUUUAAGUAUGGCAAAAAGAAAAAGCAGAAGGCGUUUCUUUUUUUAAAUAUAUUUUUAUUAUACUUUAAGUUCUAGGGUACAUGUGCACAACGUGCAGGUUUGUUACAUAUGUAUACAUGUGCCAUGUUGGUGUGCUGCACCCAUUAACUCGUCAUUUACAUUAGUUAUAUCUCCUAAUGCUAUCCCUCCCCCGUCCCCCAACCCCACAACAGGCCCCGGUGUGUGAUGUUCCCCUUCCAGUGUCCAGGUGUUCCCAUUGUUCAAUUCCCACCUAUGAGUGAGGACAUGCGGUGUUUGGUUUUUUGUCCUUAUGAUAGUUUGCUGAGAAUGAUGGUUUCCAGCUUCAU
rnacentral:lncRNA from 1 species